rnacentral:rRNA from 1 species
UACGUAGGGUGCGAGCGUUAAUCGGAAUUACUGGGCGUAAAGCGUGCGUAGGCGGUUCUCCAAGUCCGUUGUGAAAGCCCCGGGCUCAACCUGGGAAUUGCGAUGAAGACUGCAAGGCUUGAAUCUGGCAGAGGGGGGUAGAAUUCCACGUGUAGCAGUGAAAUGCGUAGAGAUGUGGAGGAACACCGAUGGCGAAGGCAGCCCCCUGGGCUAACACUGACGCUCAUGCACGAAAGCGUGGGGAGCAAACAGG